AGCUGUGGAAGUUCAGCUCUCAAGAAGCUCACAUCUAGGGUGCGGAGUUAGAGAAAUCAGACCGGCACAUGAUACAGAAGGGACUAGGUGCUAUGGAGAGACGUGAGCUGGGGAGGGGAUAGCCUGUGUUGGGGUGGAGGCUGCUGCUUUAGAGAGAUGAGGGAAGGCCACUGGAAUCUGAUGCUGAGCAGAGAUCAGGGAUUUUAUAUAAGGGAAGUGAGGGAGUGAGUCGUGGCCACCUGAGGAGAGCAUUCCAGGAUAAGGAAACAGCAGGUGCAAAGGCACUGCUGCAGGGAGGUGCUUGGUAUAUCCAGGGAGUGUGGAGAAGUCCCGUGUGGUGGCUGCAGAGGGAGCAGGGGGAGGAUGGUGGGAGGUGAGAAUGGAGACCUCUGAGGUAGGUCCUCGAGAGCCUUAGAGGCCACGCGAAUUGCAUGGGACCCACUGGAGGGAGCCAUUCCCAGAGCCAUGACAGGUUGGGACCUGCCUGCAAAGGACCACAUUCUGGCCGUGGGGAAGGGCAGAAGCAGGAGACCAAUUUGGAGGCUGGGACCUGGGGCCUGGGGCCUAGGACAGGCAUGGUGAGCAGUGGUCAGUUUCUGAAUCCAUUCUCAGGGUAGACACAAUAGGACUGGUGAUUGAUUGAAUAUGAGAUGUGAGACAAAGACAAAUGCCAAGGACGGCUCCAAGGGUUUUUCCUGAACAGCUGCCAGGAUGAAGUUGGCAUUUAUUUAGGUGGAGGAAGAAAGGAAGGAGCAGGUUUGGGAGCUGGAGAUAGAGAUUCGUUUUUGAAAGUGUUAAUUUGAGAUGUUCAAUUAGACACAGAGUGGAGAUGCCAAAUAGACAAUUAUACAGGAGUCUGGUGCUGAGUGUUGAGGUCUGGGAUGGAGACAUCACCCUGAGGGUCCUUGGCAUUUAAAUGCUGUUUAAAACCAGGAGGCUAGAUGAGCUCACCAAGGGAGAGGGAAGGGAUAGAAGAGGGAGAGGGUCUGAGGACUCAGCCCUGGAGCAUAGAUAAUUAACAGGCAGAUGGGGAGAAACUGGGAGAGGGGACUGAGAAGGAACAGCAGGCAAGAGAAAGAGGGCUAAGGGAGAGCCAUGACCUACAAUCAGGUCAAGAAGCAUUUCUACAGGAGAGAUUUAUGCUGCCGAUCUUCCAAUAGAUCAAGUAGCGUGGAGACCACUGAGACCCAGCCACUGGAGACCAUUAGCCUAGGGAGGUCAUUGGUGUCCUUGCCAAGCCCUGUUUUGGUUCUGGGUCCAGGAGACAGAGUGUAGUCAGAGGAGAGGAAUCACAGACAGCCCAGUGCAGACAACAGGCAACUCUUUCAAGGAGUCAUCUUAUAAAGGUGCGUGGACACUCAGAGGAAACCUGGGGUAGGGAGAGGGUAGAGGGUGGGUGGUGGCGGAGUUCAUUUAAAUGUGUUUGGUUUUUAGUGGGCAGUAUGACCACAUUUUUUAUGCUGAUGGGAUUCAUUCUGGAGAGAAAGACACACUGGUGAUGUAGGAGUGAUACCUUAGACCAUUCACAUGUUGGACUAAUUAGCAGUCACUGCAUGUGUUAAGAGAGAGGAGUUGGGGUUGUUCAAGAACUCCUGUAAAUGGAGAGCACCUGGCUAAGGGAGGGGCUGGUACAAAUGGCUUAUAAGCAUUCAAAAUAAAUGUAUUGGGG
rnacentral:lncRNA from 1 species